UACGGAGGGUGCAAGCGUUAUCCGGAAUCACUGGGUUUAAAGGGUGCGUAGGCGGUCUAAUAAGUCAGUCGUGAAAUCGCUGGGCUUAACCCAUGCAAUUGCGAUUGAUACUGUUAGACUUGAAUGGGGUUGAGGCUGGCGGAAUGCGACAUGUAGCGGUGAAAUGCUUAGAUAUGUCGCAGAACACCGAUUGCGAAGGCAGCCAGCUGGGCCUUUAUUGACGCUGAGGCACGAAAGCGUGGGGAGCAAA
rnacentral:rRNA from 1 species